rnacentral:lncRNA from 1 species
UGCCCCUCACCUUCCUCCCCUCCAUCCCUCCUUGCAGAGUCCACGCUGGAAUAAAAGUCAAGAUGACAAAAUCUGCCUGGUGACAGGGUGAGGAAGAGCUGCAUUCCAGGAAGGGGCUGGAAUGGGAAAGGACUCGAAUGAAACAGAGGGGUCUACACCCGAGGAUAAGGCACAGCUUGUACUGUGAGACAGAGCCAGUGAAGCAGGGCCUGAGCCCUGGCAGGGGUGAACAAGAGGGGAAGAAGGUGGGGAGCCAUGGUUGCCUGCCUGGAGUAUUCAGGAGACAUUGGGGACAAGGAAAAAAACACCCUUUAUGGUGCAGUGCUCCCCCGCCAAGGACAGAGGGCCAAAGGCUCAGACUCACCAGUCCCUUCUUAGACCUGGAGAGCCAGAUUGCUGAGGAAGAGAGAGCUUUACAGUGGCCCCAUCUGGGACACACAACCCAUAGUCUCCGUGGUCUGCCUUCCAUGCAAUAAUAUACUCCACGGGCAUUUUUCUACAUCAAUAAAUGCAAAUCCACACAGCCUUGCUGACUUCAGGGAAUCUGUGCCUUGGACCUGGCAUCCUCUACUUAACAGCCCUGCUGUCCGUGGACGUUUUGUUCAUUUCCAGCUUUGCAGUAGACAGUAGCCUGUAACCAGCAGGGCCCACUACACUUCCCUGCACAUUCACAGACUCUGGUACAAUUAUUUUGUAAUGAUACACCGUAGAAGGG